CCGUCCGAGGGGCGCUGCAGCAGGUCGGUCGACACCGGUUUGUCAGGCUCGGAUGGGGCGUUAACCAUACGCAUCAACGGCGCCCAUUCGCA
rnacentral:ncRNA from 14 species